rnacentral:rRNA from 1 species
GAUGAACGCUGGCGGCGUGCCUAAUACAUGCAAGUCGAGCGAACAGACGAGGAGCUUGCUCCUCUGACGUUAGCGGCGGACGGGUGAGUAACACGUGGAUAACCUACCUAUAAGACUGGGAUAACUUCGGGAAACCGGAGCUAAUACCGGAUAAUAUAUUGAACCGCAUGGUUCAAUAGUGAAAGACGGUUUUGCUGUCACUUAUAGAUGGAUCCGCGCCGCAUUAGCUAGUUGGUAAGGUAACGGCUUACCAAGGCAACGAUGCGUAGCCGACCUGAGAGCGUGGUGGGCUAGAGUGGAACGGAGGACGGGCCGAGACACCGGCAGGGGGCCACAGGAGGGAAUAGUACGCAAGGCGCGAGUGCGUAAUAUAGCAACACCGCGGCAAAGAUGAAGGUGUUAGGAUGCGUGAACUAUGUUAUUCUGAAAGAACAAAAGUGCUUGUCACCGGGCGCAUCAUGACGGUACCUGAUCAGAAAGCCACGGCUAACUUCGUG